UGUCGUCAGCUCGUGUCGUGAGAUGUUGGGUUAAGUCCCGCAACGAGCGCAACCCUUGCCUUUAGUUGCCAGCAGUUCGGCUGGGCACUCUAAAGGGACUGCCGGUGUUAAACCGGAGGAAGGUGGGGAUGACGUCAAGUCCUCAUGGCCUUUAUGACCAGGGCUACACACGUACUACAAUGGCCGAUACAAAGGGCAGCGACACUGCGAGGUGAAGCCAAUCCCGUAAAAUCGGUCUCAGUCCGGAUUGGAGUCUGCAACUCGACUCCAUGAAGUUGGAAUCGCUAGUAAUCGUGGAUCAGCAUGCCACGGUGAAUACGUUCCCGGGCCUU
rnacentral:rRNA from 1 species